GACGAACCGUGCGAACGUUGUUCGGAAUCACUGGGCUUAAAGGGCGCGUAGGCGGCUUGUCAAGUCAGGGGUGAAAUCUUUAGGCUCAACCGGAAAAGUGCCUUUGAUACUGACAAGCUAGAGGGAGGUAGGGGUAUGUGGAACUUCUGGUGGAGCGGUGAAAUGCGUUGAUAUCAGAAGGAACGCCGGUGGCGAAAGCGACGUACUGGACCUCUUCUGACGCUGAGGCGCGAAAGCUAGGGGAGCAAACGGG
rnacentral:rRNA from 1 species